rnacentral:rRNA from 1 species
AGUGAACGCUGGCGGCAGGCCUAACACAUGCAAGUCGAACGGAAGCACAGUAAGAGCUUGCUCUUACGGGUGGCGAGUGGCGGAAGGGGGAGGAAAACAUCCCUAUCUACUUGUUCGAGGGGGGUAAAGUAGGGAAAAUUACGCUAAAACCCCAUACGACGUACGGGUGAAAGCAGGGGAUCUCCGGCCCUUGCACGAUUGAAUGACGCGAUGUCGGAUUAGUGAGGUGGCGGGGUAAAGGCCCAACAAGGCGAAGAUGCGUAGCGGGUCUGAGAGGAUGAUCAGCCACACUGGAACUGAGGAACGGCCCAGACUCCUACGGGAGGCAGCAGUGGGGAAUAUUGGACAAUGGGCGCAAGCCUGAUACAGCCAUACCGCGUGGGUGAAGAAGGCCUACGGGUUGUAAAGCCCUUUUGUUGGGAAGGAAGAGCAGCAGGUUAAUACCCCGCUGUUCUGACGGUACCCAAAGAAUAAGCACCGGCUAACUUCGUG